UCAUGCACGUUCACGUCAUACACGUUGCGUCAAGCACGUUUUACGUCAUGCACGUUCUACAUGUAGCGGGCUCUGAGGGCUGCUGACAAGCUGUGUCUCGUCAGCCAGCGCAGGUCUUCGGCUGAACUGCCCCACGCAGCGUCUCUGCAGUUGGGAGCUCAGUCUCCUUACUGCUUGCUGGAUUUGGCUUCAGGACAACACAAGGCUGCGUCCACGCUCACAGGAGCUGGGUUUCCUGCUCAUCCAGGUGAUUCCGGGAGGACAAGGUCUCGAAGUAUGGAAGUUGAACCUGAUCACCUUUUUUGAGCAAAGGAGACAGCAGUCAUCACUCAGGAAAAUCAUGUCCAAAUGGCUUGCUGCCAGCCUGGCUUCUAGGGGAGAGAACUGUGUUAGGACUGCACCACACCCCAUGACUCAUCUGGGUGUCAGUUCUAUUGCUGUGUAUGUGCUGCGGGCAGCUGUCCUUUUCCAGGUGAUGGAUGCUCACUGCACAUACCAUGGUCAUCAUUCCAUGAAGCUAUCAGCCUGCUGCACCCCUUCAACUUGCACAGUGUUGUUGGCUGUCACCUGUGUCUCAGUAAGGCUGGUCAUGUGCCAGGACAAACCAUGAUCCUGUGCUAGGUCCCCUUUGGGUGGCCACAUCCCCCUACUACUCUAUGAUGACGUCAUCCUCUACAAAUUCAUCUUACUUCAAAGAAUCCUUUCAUUUCUUCAGCAAUCCUCUCAUCUACCUCUGGCUGCCUUAGAUUCUGUGGAAUCAACUAACAAGAAUGCCCCAAACUGUUCUGAGACAUCAUUCAUCUGGGCUGAUUUCCAGAGAUCAGUCACUUCACAUCCCCUCCACUCCUACAUGUUUUCAGUAUCUCAUUUAUUUAGUCUUCCUUCCUGGUCUCAAAGACAAGUCCAUCCUCCUCCUUAUGAGCAACACACUUUCAGAGGAGCUUAUUCUUAUCCCUCCCUUCCUGCAUGACCUUUCCUCAUCAAUUACCACCCCCUGCCCCAGGUACCACCCUAUUUACCUCCAGUCUGUCCUCUGCCUACUAACUGGCAUAUGCAUGUGCUACUCAUUUCCAAGUCAUCAUCUUUUCUCUUCUUUUUGUGACUAACUUUAUUCAAGGGCUGCUCCACACUUAAUACCAUACCUUCUGACCACCAAGAGUGAUCAGAGAAGGCCUCUCGGAGGGAAUAACAUUGAAGCUGAAGGUCAGCAAGGAGCAAGACGCUAGCAUGUGGAGAGGACAGGCAGCCAAGGCCUGUGCUAACAGAAAAGGCUGCCAG